rnacentral:rRNA from 1 species
UACAGAGGUCUCAAGCGUUGUUCGGAUUCAUUGGGCGUAAAGGGUGCGUAGGUGGCGCCGUAAGUCGGGUGUGAAAUCUCAGGGCUUAACCCUGAAACUGCACUCGAUACUGCUCUGCUUGAGGACUGGAGAGGAGACUGGAAUUCAUGGUGUAGCAGUGAAAUGCGUAGAGAUCAUGAGGAAGACCAGUGGCGAAGGCGGGUCUCUGGACAGUUCCUGACACUGAGACACGAAGGCCUGGGGAGCAAACGGG